AUUGCCCUAGUAACGGCGAGUGAAGCGGCAACGGCUUAAAUUUAAAAUCUAGCCCCCCCCGGGGGCCCGAGUUGUAAUUUACAGAGGAUGCUUUUAGCGCGGCGCCCUCUGAGUUCCCUGGAAUGGGACGCCGCAGAGGGUGAGAGCCCCGUCCGGCGGGAGGCCAGGCCAGUGUAAAGCUCCCUCGACGAGUCGAGUAGUUUAGGAAUACUGCUCUAAACGGGAGGUAUAUGCCUUCCAAAGCUAAAUACCGGCCAGAGACCGAUAGCGCACAAGUAGAGUGAUCGAAAGAUGAAAAGCACUUUGGAAAGAGGGUCAAACAGUACGUGAAAUUGUUGAAAGGGAAGCGCUCGUGACCAGACUUGGGGGCGGCGGAUCAGCCGGCGUUCUCGCCGGCGCACGCCGCCGGGCCCCAGGCCAGCAUCGGCCCGCCGCGGGGGACAAAGGGCGCGGGAACGUGGCUCCCCAGGGAGUGUUAUAGCCCGCGGCGCAAUGCCCCGCGGCGGACCGAGGUUCGCGCGUCCGCAAGGAUGCUGGCGUAAUGGUCGCCAGCGGCCCGUCUUGAAACACGGACCAAGGAGUCGUCUUCGUAUGCGAGUGUUCGGGCGUCAAACCCCUACGCGGAAUGAAAGUGAGGGCAGGUGAGAGCCUCCACGGCGCAUCAUCGACCGAUCCCGAUGUUCUCGGAGGGAUUUGAGUAGGAGCAUACGGGGCCGGACCCGAAAGAAGGUGAACUAUGCCUGCGUAGGGUGAAGCCAGAGGAAACUCUGGUGGAGGCUCGCAGCGGUUCUGACGUGCAAAUCGAUCGUCAAACGUGGGCAUGGGGGCGAAAGACUAAUCGAACCUUCUGGUAGCUGGUUUC
rnacentral:rRNA from 1 species